AACAAGCCCUAUUUACAACAAAAUAAAUGAAGAAAGAAGAAAUUACAAGAAUGGUGAUUGGUGAAAAUCGACGGCAAAAGUAUAUAGUGCUUGCAAGUUUGAACGGCGACUGGUGCCGGUGUGGGGAGGGGAUUUGUUUUGGGUAUUAUCUCUUUCUCUUUUUUGAUCUGUAGUUAACGAUUUUUGGAAUUUUGUUAAUUAUAUUUUCAGAUCUUGGCGAUGGCUAUAGUGGGUGUGAUGGUAACGAGAUCCAAUUUGUUGUUGGUUUUGGGGUGAUGGUGGUUGUGAUAUUGGUUGUCGGUGGUAAGGUGGUCAUGGAAGUGGCAAUGGUGGUCGUGGAUGGGAUGGCGUGGGAUAUGGGUGUUUUUUAGUGGUGGUGUUGGUGUGCA
rnacentral:lncRNA from 1 species